rnacentral:ncRNA from 2 species
GGCAGAACAAUCCAAUACGGUGUCUGAUAGUGCCUAAGCACUGGGACUGAAACGGGAAUGAGGACGGUGGACCAAAUCGCGGCACCGAAGCCUCAACCGCCCCCGCGACUGUGAGCGGCGAGCGGCCUUCCAAUAUCCACUGGCGUGAAGGCGCCGGGAAGGAGGAAGGCAGCAGCGACCCGCGAGUCAGGAGACCGGCCGUGUAACGGACGUAACU